UUGAUCAGCCACUUUACAUACCCGCUUAUGUGCCCAAGGGGUCAUGUUCCUGCCUCAGAAAGCAUGCAGUUACCGCCAGCCUCUCAGAGAGAUGAGGUUAGGGAAGCCACAGUUGUAGCAGAAGUUUGGUAAUGCUCUCUCCUCUUUGCUGCCAUCCCAACAGCACUGCCAUAUCUUUGGAGAAUAGUAUCCUCUUGCAUGUGGAGAGUGCCU
rnacentral:lncRNA from 1 species